GAUGAACGUUGGCGGUGUGCCUAAUACAUGCAAGUCGUACGCAUUCUCGUUUCUGAUUGACGGUGCUUGCACCUAAUUGACGAGACAUUGGAAUGAGUGGCGGACGGGUGAGUAACACGUGGGUAACCUGCCCAGAAGCGGGGGAUGACAUUUGGAAGCAGAUGCUAAUACCGCAUAAAAGUCAAAACCACAUGGUUUUGAUUUAAAAGAUGGCCUUUGUGCUAUCACUUCUGGAUGGACCCGCGGCGUAUUAGCUAGUUGGUAAGGUAACGGCUUACAAAGGCAAUGAUACGUAGCCGAACUGAGAGGUUGGUCGGCCACAAUGGGACUGAGACACGGCCCAUACUCCUACGGGAGGCAGCAGUAGGGAAUCUUCCACAAUGGGAGCAAGCCUGAUGGAGCAACACCGCGUGAGUGAAGAAGGGUUUCGGCUCGUAAAACUCUGUUGUUAAAGAAGAACGUAUCUAAGAGUAACUGCUUAGGUAGUGACGGUAUUUAACCAGAAAGCCACGGCUAACUACGUGCCAGCCGCCGUAAUAC
rnacentral:rRNA from 1 species